UACGUAGGGUGCGAGCGUUGUCCGGAAUUACUGGGCGUAAAGAGCUCGUAGGUGGUUUGUCGCGUUGUUCGUGAAAACUCACAGCUCAACUGUGGGCGUGCGGGCGAUACGGGCAGACUGGAGUACUGCAGGGGGAGACUGGAAUUCCUGGUGUAGCGGUGGAAUGCGCAGAUAUCAGGAGGAACACCGGUGGCGAAGGCGGGUCUCUGGACCGAGACUGACGCUGAGGCGCGAAAGCGUGGGGGAGCAAACAGG
rnacentral:rRNA from 1 species